rnacentral:rRNA from 1 species
GAUGAACGCUGGCGGCGUGCCUAAUACAUGCAAGUCGAGCGAACGGACGAGAGGCUUGCUUCUCUGAUGUUAGCGGCGGACGGGUGAGUAACACGUGGAUAACCUACCUAUAAGACUGGGAUAACUUCGGGAAACCGGAGCUAAUACCGGAUAAUAUUUUGAACCGCAUGGUUCAAAAGUGAAAGACGGUCUUGCUGUCACUUAUAGAUGGAUCCGCGCUGCAUUAGCUAGUUGGUAAGGUAACGGCUUACCAAGGCAACGAUGCAUAGCCGACCUGAGAGGGUGAUCGGCCACACUGGAACUGAGACACGGUCCAGACUCCUACGGGAGGCAGCAGUAGGGAAUCUUCCGCAAUGGGCGAAAGCCUGACGGAGCAACGCCGCGUGAGUGAUGAAGGUCUUCGGAUCGUAAAACUCUGUUAUUAGGGAAGAACAUAUGUGUAAGUAACUGUGCACAUCUUGACGGUACCUAAUCAGAAAGCCACGGCUAACUACGU